rnacentral:rRNA from 1 species
UACUUAGGGGGCAAGCGUUGUCCGGAAUCAUUGGGCGUAAAGCGCGUGUAGGCGGCUCGGUAAGUCCGCUCUGAAAGUCCAGGGCUCAACCCUGGGAUGCGGGUGGAUACUGCCGGGCUCGAGUCCGGAAGAGGCGAGUGGAAUUCCCGGUGUAGCGGUGAAAUGCGCAGAUAUCGGGAGGAACACCAAUGGCGAAGGCAGCUCGCUGGGACGUGACUGACGCUGAGACGCGAAAGCGUGGGGAGCGAACAGG